rnacentral:rRNA from 1 species
GUGGGGCGGUGUGCUAUAAUGCAGUCGUACGCACUGGCCCAACUGAUUGAUGGUGCUUGCACCUGAUUGACGAUGGAUCACCAGUGAGUGGCGGACGGGUGAGUAACACGUAGGUAACCUGCCCCGGAGCGGGGGAUAACAUUUGGAAACAGAUGCUAAUACCGCAUAACAACAAAAGCCACAUGGCUUUUGUUUGAAAGAUGGCUUUGGCUAUCACUCUGGGAUGGACCUGCGGUGCAUUAGCUAGUUGGUAAGGUAACGGCUUACCAAGGCAAUGAUGCAUAGCCGAGUUGAGAGACUGAUCGGCCACAAUGGAACUGAGACACGGUCCAUACUCCUACGGGAGGCAGCAGUAGGGAAUCUUCCACAAUGGGCGCAAGCCUGAUGGAGCAACACCGCGUGAGUGAAGAAGGGUUUCGGCUCGUAAAGCUCUGUUGUUGGAGAAGAACGUGCGUGAGAGCAACUGUUCACGCAGUGACGGUAUCCAACCAGAAAGUCACGGCUAACUACGUGCCAGCAGCCGCGGUAAUACGUAGGUGGCAAGCGUUAUCCGGAUUUAUUGGGCGUAAAGCGAGCGCAGGCGGUUGCUUAGGUCUGAUGUGAAAGCCUUCGGCUUAACCGAAGAAGUGCAUCGGAAACCGGGCGACUUGAGUGCAGAAG